CUUAAAUUUGAGCUUGAUGUAAAUACAGUAGAGUCUCACUUAUCCAACAUAAACGAGCCGGCAGAAUGUUGGAUAAGUGGAUAUGUUGGAUAAUAAGGAGGCAUUAAGGAAAAGCCUAUUAAACAUCAAAUUAGGUUAUCAUUUUACAAAUUAAGCACCAAAACAUCAUGUUAGACAACAAAUUUGGCAGAAAAAGUAGUUCAAUACCCAGUAAUGCUAUGUAGUAAUCUAUAUAUAUAAAAGAGUGAUGGCAUCACGGCAACCCACAAAACAACAAAACUACAGUCCCUCCAACCUUGAAAUUUGACAACACAAUCCAUCAUCCACGCCUCUAGGUUGAUACAACAAAAAGAAAAGAAAAAUAAAGUCCUAAUUAGAAAGAGAGGAAUAAUUGCUUUUAUCCACUUGCUGCCAGUUAGAAGGCUAAGCUCCUCCAAUUUGGUCUCCUAGCAACCCAAUAAAAAAUAAUAAAAAAACACUAAAAAAUUGAUACAAUAAAAUACUAUAAUAACAGAAAAUAACUAACAAUACAAGAAAAUAAUAAAAUAUAAUAAAUAAAAAUAUAACUUACAAUAAAAUUAAUAAAAAAAACUAACGUAAAAUAAAAAUUACACAACAAUUUUUAACCAAUACCACCACCACUUUGCCACAGCAAUGCGUGGCUGGGCACAGCUAGUUACUGUAUAUAUGAAUUUAGCACCAAAAUAUCACGAUAUAUUGAAAACAUUGACUAUAAAAAUGUGUUGGAUAAUCCAGAACGUUGGAUAAGCGAGUGUUGGAUAAGUGAGACUCUACUGUAUUCAAAAACAUUUAACCUACUGAUGCCUCGAUUAAUGUAAUUGUAUUGGUAUCUAUUUUUAUUUCUGAAAUUUACCACCCUCGGCUUAUACUGGAGUCAACGUUUUCCCAGUUUUUUGUGAUAAAAUUAGGUGCCUCGGCUUAUAUUUGGGUCGGCUUAUACUCGAGUAUAUACGGUAAUGUAAUUUUAUUGGUAUCUCGGCUUAUACUGGAGUCAGUAUUCGGGUCGGCUUAUACUCGAGUAUAUACGGUAAUGUAAUUUUAUUGGUAUCUCGGCU
rnacentral:lncRNA from 1 species